rnacentral:rRNA from 1 species
UACGAGGGGGGCGAGCGUUGUGCGGAAUUAUUGGGCGUAAAGGGUGCGUAGGCGGGUUGGGAAGGCGGGUGUGAAAUCUACAGGCUCAACUUGUAGUCUGCACGAGAAACUGCCGGGCUUGAGUGUGGGAGAGGUGAGUGGAAUUCCUGGUGUAGCGGUGAAAUGCGCAGAUAUCAGGAGGAACACCGGUGGCGAAGGCGGUUCUCUGGGCAUUACCUGACUCUGAGGAGCGAAAGUGUGUGGAGCGAACAGG